AUAAUGUUAAUGGUGAUUUUCUCCUAUCAAGCAUCGGUCUUAUAGUGGGUGGUAUUUUGUGUUUUAACAAAGCCGUACAAUGGUGGACAUGCAGGGUUGCUUAAGGUUUUUGGUUUCCACAUUUCAGGGAAUCUGUUCAUAUUGGUAAUCCUUCUUACUUUCACCUGUAGACUGUCAGUGGGAUCUGUCGUUAUUAUCUCUGCUCCAGAUGCUGUAAUAUAAUCAUACAAUAUUUCAUCAUACAUACUAUGGAGGAAGUAUUACAAUUUUCUUAGAUUUGUCAUCUCUAGUACUUAUUAUCUCAUUAUCCUUAAGCCACUCAGUACAUGUUGUGAGUUGAGUCUCAAAUUACACUCUUGCUUCCAUUUGUCAGUUUUAAUAACACUCUUAUAUUUAGUUAUAAAUGCAGUUUGAACUUCUUCUUGUUCAUCUUGAUUGAUAUUCUGUAACAGCCUUUCUACCAUAGGAAUGAGAUGCCUAGGGUUUCUUAUAGGUAGUAAGUUGGAAGUUACCAAGUUGGAUAAUUUAUUUCAUAUAUUCUGGCAACCUAAUAUCACCCAACACAGUAGCAACUUGAUCAAAGGGAGGGAAUCUUUUUCUAUAAUAUUUCAACUGUUUACUGAAUAUCCAUCUUAUUUUCUUUAUAUAAGAAGUUCUUAUGUUAGAAGCGAAUCGC
rnacentral:lncRNA from 1 species